AUUGAACGCUGGCGGCAUGCCUUACACAUGCAAGUCGAACGGUAACGGGCCUUCGGGUGCCGACGAGUGGCGAACGGGUGAGUAAUACAUCGGAACGUGCCCGAUCGCGGGGGAUAACGAGGCGAAAGCUUUGCUAAUACCGCAUACGAUCUACGGAUGAAAGCAGGGGACCGCAAGGCCUUGCGCGGACGGAGCGGCCGAUGGCAGAUUAGGUAGUUGGUGGGAUAAAAGCUUACCAAGCCGACGAUCUGUAGCUGGUCUGAGAGGAUGAUCAGCCACACUGGGACUGAGACACGGCCCAGACUCCUACGGGAGGAAGCAGUGGGGAAUUUUGGACAAUGGGCGAAAGCCUGAUCCAGCAAUGCCGCGUGCAGGAUGAAGGCCUUCGGGUUGUAAACUGCUUUUGUACGGAACGAAAAGCCUUCUUUUAAUACAGGAGGGUCAUGACGGUACCGUAAGAAUAAGCACCGGCUAACUACGUG
rnacentral:rRNA from 1 species